AAGGUUUUUAGUGUCCUGUUCCCCUCGUCAGAUCCAUCCAUCCGUUUUUCCAUCCGAUCCACCUGACGCCAUCGCAUCCCCUUCUCGCUCGCAGGAUUUCAGGCGAUUCGAUCCGGUCCAGGUCCAUGGACGAGAAUUUCAGGCGAUUCGAUCCGGUCCAGGUCCAUGGCGUCCACGGCCGUGGCGGCGCUCACGGUGACGGACGAGCUGGCCCUGCCGCUCCGCGCGGUGGGGGACCUGGCGGCGGCCGCCCGCGUCUCGCGGGAGGAGGUCGUCGUCAUCACGCAGUGCACCUCGCUCGGGGGCUGGCGUUAUGGAGGCUGUGUACGGCGACGACCACAAGUUCUCCGGCCUUCGAGUACAAGAGGCUGCUGCUUGACUAUAACAGCGAAAAUGUGCAAUGUUGGAUUAACGAUUGAAGUGCAUUAGCGGUUUAUCUUCUUCUUCACAAGUCUGUUUGCAAUGGGUGUACAUAACUGUCAUUUUUACCUCUUGCAUAUUUAACAUACAUGAAAAUAGUAGUAGGUAUUGAAAUAUAUGUGAAGGUAGAAGCUAUCACUGCUGCCUUGUGGGUCGUAAUUCUUUCUCUCCAGAUGUGUAUACUUCCUGAUGUAUUGCUCAUGCUCAUAUUCUGUACCGAGAUAGUCCUAAUAUCCGUAGGGUUGUAGAUUGAUUUCCCCUGAAAAAGCUAUGCUUCUUUCCUUGGAUGAUAAGCAUGUUCGGCAGCUAUGUGGAAUCCUUAAGAUAAAUGGUCUUUAGUUUCUUUUGGUGCAUCUGCAUGCACAUAACAGUCUGUUAGUUUCUAUUUAUAUAAUGAAGAAAAUAUGCUGAUGUCGUUUGUUUAUUAUUAUCUAUUAUCUGUAGAUUGAUUUUUAGGCCAUCAGUACUUGUAUGUAUAAUUUCUAGUAUCUUGAAUGAAUAAUUUUUCUUUAGGUGUCAUGCGUCUUGUGUUACUACAUACAUCUGUCGUGAAGUACAUGGUUCCAGAAGUAUGGUAACCUGUAGUUUGCUCUACUAGUGAUAGUAGGAUGAUGGAAACAUCACUACUGAAUGUAGUUCAUGUUUCUUCAACUAAUCAUGUACUAGAGUUUCUAUUCUUCUUGCUACUGUUUGGUUUUUGACGUCACUAGCUUGUACUGAAACGUGCAGACUUUACCCCUUGCUAGAUGCUUAGGUGGAGGUGACCCAGGUGAUGGUGAUUUGCUCCAGCAGUUUCAGUUCCGGCAAUGGUGGUGCUACACUGCUACUGCUCCUAUGAUGGCUAUGCAUUGGUAGGCUCGGCUGCCUCCCUUGGCUGUCGCUGUGAUGGUGAAGCUCAGCCUAGGCUACAACCACUUCCGAUGAGCUCCGCAGGACGGUCAAAGUUGUUUGACCAGACGGUAACGGCGCAGAAGGGCUUUUCUGUAAGGGCACCUAACGGCGGAGGGGCAAAUUUGAGCAGGCUUUCGAAUUAGGGGUAUAUCUGAUUAGGUGGUUCGAGUUAGGGACAGAAAUGCAAAUGGCCCUUUUUUCAAGGUCUAUACAAGUGCCAUCUUUGUCUGGCAACAUCUGCCUCCUGUGUCAUGUCAUGUAUCUAUUUCACUUUAAAUGUUUUAAGUGAAUGAUGUAUUACUUGCGAGUGUCGAUGUACUGAUGCAAACAGUGCUUGUGUACUUGUGACUAAUCUGUUUUCCCUCAU